rnacentral:rRNA from 1 species
AUUGAACGCUGGCGGCAGGCCUAACACAUGCCAGUCGAACGGUAACAGGAAGAAGCUUGCUUCUUUGCUGACGAGUGGCGGACGGGUGAGUAAUGUCUGGGAAACUGCCUGAUGGAGGGGGAUAACUACUGGAAACGGUAGCUAAUACCGCAUAACGUCGCAAGACCAAAGAGGGGGACCUUCGGGCCUCUUGCCAUCGGAUGUGCCCAGAUGGGAUUAGCUAGUAGGUGGGGUAACGGCUCACCUAGGCGACGAUCCCUAGCUGGUCUGAGAGGAUGACCAGCCACACUGGAACUGAGACACGGUCCAGACUCCUACGGGAGGCAGCAGUGGGGAAUAUUGCACAAUGGGCGCAAGCCUGAUGCAGCCAUGCCGCGUGUUUGAAGAAGGCCUUCGGGUUGUAAAGUACUUUCAGCGGGGAGGAAGGGAGUAAAGUUAAUACCUUUGCUCAUUGACGUUACCCGCAGAAGAAGCACCGGCUAACUCCGU